GGCCGCAGUAACUGACUGUGCUAAGGUAGCAAAAUCAUUAGCCUUUUAAUUAGAGGCCGGUAUGAAAGAUUUGACAUAGAGCUAACUGUCUCAAUAAAAGCAAAUUAUAAUUUUAUAGUAAGGUAAAAAAGCCUUAGGAUAUUAAGAGGACGAUAAGACCCUAAAAUCUAUUUUUAAAAUACAUAUGGCUAAGAUUAAUAUUUAAAAUUAAGAAAAUAUACUGGGGCGGUAAUUAUAAAACAAACUAUAUACUUAACAACACACUGCGUGAAUUUGUUAACCCCUCUAGGGAAAAAAAUAAGAUACUUUAGGGAUAACAGCAUAAUAUAUUUUUAGAGUUCCUAUCGACAGAUGUGUUUAUGACCUCGAUGUUGAAUUGAAUAUUCUUUACUUAGAAUAGUAAGUAAAUAGAGAGUCUGUUCGACUCUUAAUAGUUCACAUGAUUUGAGUUCAACCGGCG
rnacentral:rRNA from 1 species